CCCGCUGAACUUAAGCAUAUCAGUAAGCGGAGGAAAAGAAAAUAACAAUGAUUACCUCAGUAGCGGCGAGUGAAGAGGUACCAGCCCAAGAUGUUAAUCUGUAAUAAUGUUACGGAAUUGUAAUCUAUAGAUCUUCUCAGAAAGUAAUGACCAAUCAUAAGUUCUUUGGAACAAGACACCAUAGAGGGUGAAAGUCCCGUCUUUGGAUAGGUCAGAGCAAUAUGAGGGGUUUCUAAGAGUCGGGUAGUUUGGGAAUGCUGCCCUAAGUGGGAGAUAAACUUCUCCUAAGGCUAAACAUAAGAUAGGAGACCGAUAGCAUACAAGUACUGCGAAGGAAAGAUGAAAAGAACUUUGAAAAGAGGGUUAAAAGACUUGAAAUCGUUGAAAAGGAAGCAGUAAAAGAGAAAUUAUAGCCUGCGAAUUAAGCCACUUAUCUAAGCUUUACGGUGUAGAAUACUUUAUAGGGUUCUUGCUAGAAAGUGAAAAUAAGUGGUGUUUUACAGGUGAAAGACAAAAUGAUAUCCUUUUGCAAUAAUAAGGCCGACAGUUUAUUCUUAAGCUAGAAAUUGCAAGAGGGUAUGAGGGAUUAACUAAUGAUUUUGUCAAAAUGGCUUUUACUGACCCGUCUUGAAACACGG
rnacentral:rRNA from 1 species